rnacentral:lncRNA from 1 species
AUGGAAUGUAAGAUGUGUUAUAGUAUAACUAUUGAUGCGAUGAAACCAAUCGUAUUGGUGAAAGGACGUGCACGAGCGGAAGCUCAUAACACGAAGGAAUGAAACUUGGCCUGUACGGCUAGUGCACGAGGAGAAGAUGAUCGAUCAGGGUUGCGGAUCGUGGUUGGGAAAUGAAAAAGAGGUUAGUAAAAUGUCUAACUCAUGAUUGGAGAGAUAUGAACUGUCUAUACACGUGAAUUAAGUAAUGCAUGAAGUGAAAGCGAUAGUAAUGUGAAAUGAACGGAAUGAUUUAAAGAUACUAUAAAGGUAUGCAAGGUAUACGUAAAUGUAGAAAAGGUAGAUUAAGGUUAACGUUAAAGUUAAGCAUAUAUGAGUAUGUAUAGAUUUCGGGUAAUGGUUAAAUUCUCGUAAGAUGAAAUACAUGAUACACAUACGUAUGUAAACUAAAUAAUGCACGAAGUGAGAAUAAUUGUA